AAUACUUUGCGUUCUAGCAAUCAUUUUUCCUAACUUUCUUUUUGCUGUGUAUAUACUGAUGAGCCUGCUAUUAUGGAGAAAUGUGUUUUACGUUUAUUAUAGUAUUAGCAGGUUAAGUCAAGUAUAUUGCAAAUUUUAUUGAUAAAAAUUCAGGCAAAGAUAUUGCAAUUCAAACAAGAAUUGUAAAUUUUUAUUAAUAGUCAAACCAUGAUGAAUGCUUGUUAAUUAAUGGGAAAAUAAAUCAUGGAAAUGAAGUAAUGAUUCAAUUAAUAUGUAAACUUUUAUCCAUAUAUAUAUAUAUCCCACAAAUUAAAUCAAAUAACAAACAAAAAAUCUUGUGUUGAGUUUAUAUCUCUUGAGAUCAAAAAGCUAGUAAAAGAAAAUGGCUGGAAAAAUGUGUAUGAUGAUGAUGGUGAUGAUGAUGGUGAUAAUGAAAUGUGAUCUAAAAGCAUGUAAUGAAAUUGAUUAUAUGGAAAAAGACGUUUUGUGUCUUGAGAACUGCAUCAUCAAAUGCGGCGAAGAUAAUUACCAGUGUCAGACGCUUUGUUAUGACGAUUGUGAUCCCUCUCUUAUAGGGGAGGAGAGACCAAUAAUGCCACCAGGCCAAAGCGAAAACGCUUUCUGCCACAGAGAUUGUAGCAUUGAAUGUGGAAGUGACGCAGAUUGUAUGGAACCUUGUGUGAAGAUAUGCCCUGAAACAACUUCUCUUUGUUAAUUUACAGACAUUAAUUGAUCAAUGUUCUGUCGGUAAAAUUAUGCGACUAUAUAGAAAAUUUGAUAACUGAUAUGAAUUAUGAUAAGAAGCCAAGAUAUAUUAUCAUUAUAUUUUCAGAAA